UCUUAGUGGCGGACGGGUGAGUAACGCGUGAGUAACCUGCCUUUCGGAGGGGGACAACAGCUGGAAACGGCUGCUAAUACCGCAUAAUGUAUAUUGGUGGCAUCAUCGAUAUACCAAAGAUUUAUCGCCGAAAGAUGGACUCGCGUCUGAUUAGCUAGUUGGUAGGGUAAUGGCCUACCAAGGCUUCGAUCAGUAGCCGGACUGAGAGGUUGAACGGCCACAUUGGGACUGAGAUACGGCCCAGACUCCUACGGGAGGCAGCAGUGGGGAAUAUUGGGCAAUGGGCGAAAGCCUGACCCAGCAACGCCGCGUGAAGGAAGAAGGCUUUCGGGUUGUAAACUUCUUUGACCAGGGACGAAAAAAAUGACGGUACCUGGAAAACAAGCCACGGCUAACUACGUGCCAGCAGCCGCGGUAAUACGUAGGUGGCAAGCGUUAUCCGGAUUUACUGGGUGUAAAGGGCGCGUAGGCGGGAUUGCAAGUCAGAUGUGAAAUGCGGGGGCUUAACCUCCGAACUGCAUUUGAAACUGUGAUUCUUGAGUAUCGGAGAGGCAGGCGGAAUUCCUAGUGUAGCGGUGAAAUGCGUAGAUAUUAGGAGGAACACCAGUGGCGAAGGCGGCCUGCUGGACGACAACUGACGCUGAGGCGCGAAAGCGUGGGGAGCAAACAGGAUUAGAUACCCUGGUAGUCCACGCUGUAAACGAUGAAUACUAGGUGUGGGGGGACUAACCCCCUCCGUGCCGGAGUUAACACAAUAAGUAUUCCACCUGGGGAGUACGGCCGCAAGGUUG
rnacentral:rRNA from 1 species